rnacentral:rRNA from 1 species
CCUACGGGUGGCAGCAGUGAGGAAUAUUGGUCAAUGGACGAGAGUCUGAACCAGCCAAGUAGCGUGAAGGAUGACUGCCCUAUGGGUUGUAAACUUCUUUUAUAUGGGAAUAAUAUGUUCCACGUGUGGGAUUUUGUAUGUACCAUAUGAAUAAGGAUCGGCUAACUCCGUGCCAGCAGCCGCGGUAAUACGGAGGAUCCGAGCGUUAUCCGGAUUUAUUGGGUGUAAAGGGAGCGUAGGUGGCUUGUUAAGUCAGUUGUGAAAGUUUGCGGCUCAACCGUAAAAUUGCAGUUGAAACUGGCAGUCUAGAGUGCCGGAGAGGUCAUCGGAAUUCCUUGUGUAGCGGUGAAAUGCGUAGAUAUAAGGAAGAACACCAGUGGCGAAGGCGGAUGACUGGACGGCAACUGACGGUGAGGCGCGAAAGCGUGGGGAGCAAACAGGAUUAGAUACCCUUGUAGUC